rnacentral:rRNA from 1 species
ACGGGUGAGUAACGCGUGGGAAUCUACCGUACCCUACGGAAUAGCUCUGGGAAACUGGAAGUAAUACCGUAUACGCCCUUCGGGGGAAAGAUUUAUCGGGGUAUAAUGAGCCCGCGUUGGAUUAGCUAGUUGGUGGGGUAAAGGCCUACCAAGGCGACGAUCCAUAGCUGGUCUGAGAGGAUGAUCAGCCACAUUGGGACUGAGACACGGCCCAAACUCCUACGGGAGGCAGCAGUGGGGAAUAUUGGACAAUGGGCGCAAGCCUGAUCCAGCCAUGCCGCGUGAGUGAUGAAGGUCUUAGGAUUGUAAAGCUCUUUCACCGGAGAAGAUAAUGACGGUAUCCGGAGAAGAAGCCCCGGCUAACUUCGCGCCAGCAGCCGCGGUAAUACGAAGGGGGCUAGCGUUGUUCGGAAUUACUGGGCGUAAAGCGCACGUAGGCGGGUAUUUAAGUCAGGGGUGAAAUCCCAGAGCUCAACUCUGGAACUGCCUUUGAUACUGGGUAUCUUGAGUAUGGAAGAGGUAAGUGGAAUUGCGAGU